CAACAACAUGACACAUCUGUCCAACUAUGUUUAAGAUACUAAAACACACAUGGUGUCAGCUCAUUUUAUAAAUGAGACCGGGGCUAGUUGUCACACAUAUCUAUAUUUGUUUUUUCAUUACAAAUUCUGUUGGUUGAUGGCAUUUGUGUAUGUUACCUUUGACACUUUUGCUGUUGUUUUGUUUCAUUAUUGUUUUAAUUUUUCAGAAAAGCCUACGUGACAACAUGCUCUGCUUUUGGGGUCACAAAAGGUCACUAAAAUAUAUAAAAAAUUGACAUGGAAAUUUUUCAUUUGAUAUGAGAUAAACAAGGUCAUAUGCACUGGUGGGUUUUAAAGAUCGAUAAAUAUACUUCUGUUUAUAAGUAUAUUUAAGUAAAUAAAAGUAAUUUUGCAUAUAUUGUCUGGGUCACAAUCAUGAUAUUUCAACUCCAUCACAAACGCUGUAAAGAAAUUUGAACAGACUAAAACAAAAUAAUUAUAAUAUGCUAAUCAUAUAUAAACUUUUAUUUUCAUUUUAUUUGGUUUUGUCUCAAGAAUCAGUGAGUCAUGUGUCGCAAGAAGGAUAAUAUUUAUAUAUAGAGAGAGCCCGCUGGACAACAAAUAAAAUCUCGAGUAUAUAAUAAUCGUCAUUUCCGAUCAGCCACGCGCCUAACGAACCGUUAUCAUGAACAAGGUCAUAUAUCCACGCGUGUCAAUUAAAGAGUCAGCACGCGCGGUGUAUGAGAUAAUUUACCGUUUGACAAGCUGAUGGGAUUGACAUCUUACGUUAAGGAAAUGGCGAGAAAUUAAUACGAGUCUAUUUGACAGACAGGCUGGUUAGAUCUUUUCAAAGUUGUUUGUCCGGCGACAACACUUGUUUAUACGCUGCAGUGUCUCGAGGUGAAGGAUGUCACGCGCAUCUCUCGCGCUUUAAACAGAUGAGCGUCACGUGUGUGUGUGUGUGUCCUGUAGAGACGCUCACAUCACACACACACUUCCACUCGUGUGAUAAUGAGUGAUGAGGAGCGGAUACGUCACUCCCAAGAGGACACGAGGAGAGGUAGCGAAAACUGCCCACCUCAUAUGGUUCGGUCUUGACACGACACCAGUCCAGCAGCAUCUGUUUGACAUCUUUGGUGUUUGGGCCCCCGACUGCCGAGCCGCCUGGCACUUUAACCCUGGCCACAUGGGAUUGAG